rnacentral:rRNA from 1 species
ACAUGCAAGUCGAGCGGACCGACGGGAGCUUGCUCCCUUAGGUCAGCGGCGGACGGGUGAGUAACACGUGGGUAACCUGCCUGUAAGACUGGGAUAACUCCGGGAAACCGGGGCUAAUACCGGAUGCUUGAUUGAACCGCAUGGUUCAAUCAUAAAAGGUGGCUUUCAGCUACCACUUACAGAUGGACCCGCGGCGCAUUAGCUAGUUGGUGAGGUAACGGCUCACCAAGGCGACGAUGCGUAGCCGACCUGAGAGGGUGAUCGGCCACACUGGGACUGAGACACGGCCCAGACUCCUACGGGAGGCAGCAGUAGGGAAUCUUCCGCAAUGGACGAAAGUCUGACGGAGCAACGCCGCGUGAGUGAUGAAGGUUUUCGGAUCGUAAAACUCUGUUGUUAGGGAAGAACAAGUACCGUUCGAAUAGGGCGGUACCUUGACGGUACCUAACCAGAAAGCCACGGCUAACUACGUGCCAGCAGCCGCGGUAAUACGUAGGUGGCAAGCGUUGUCCGGAAUUAUUGGGCGUAAAGCGCGCGCAGGCGGUUUCUUAAGUCUGAUGUGAAAGCCCCCGGCUCAACCGGGGAGGGUCAUUGGAAACUGGGGAACUUGAGUGCAGAAGAGGAGAGUGGAAUUCCACGUGUAGCGGUGAAAUGCGUAGAGAUGUGGAGGAACACCAGUGGCGAAGGCGACUCUCUGGUCUGUAACUGACGCUGAGGCGCGAAAGCGUGGGGAGCGAACAGGAUUAGAUACCCUGGUAGUCCACGCCGUAAACGAUGAGUGCUAAGUGUUAGAGGGUUUCCGCCCUUUAGUGCUGCAGCAAACGCAUUAAGCACUCCGCCUGGGGAGUACGGUCGCAAGACUGAAACUCAAAGGAAUUGACGGGGGCCCGCACAAGCGGUGGAGCAUGUGGUUUAAUUCGAAGCAACGCGAAGAACCUUACCAGGUCUUGACAUCCUCUGACAACCCUAGAGAUAGGGCUUCCCCUUCGGGGGCAGAGUGACAGGUGGUGCAUGGUUGUCGUCAGCUCGUGUCGUGAGAUGUUGGGUUAAGUCCCGCAACGAGCGCAACCCUUGAUCUUAGUUGCCAGCAUUCAGUUGGGCACUCUAA